rnacentral:snRNA from 1 species
GUGCUCGCUUUGGCAGCACAUAUAUAAAAUGGGAUCGAACAGAGAAGAUUAGCAUGGCCCCUGCGAAAGGA